GUGCCAGCAGCCGCGGUAAUACGGAGGGUGCGAGCGUUAAUCGGAAUUACUGGGCGUAAAGGGUGCGUAGGCGGUUGAAUCAGUCGGAUGUGAAAGCCCCGGGCUUAACCUGGGAAUUGCAUUCGAUACUGUUCGGCUAGAGUACGGUAGAGGGUGGUGGAACUCCAGGUGUAGCGGUGAAAUGCGUAGAUAUCUGGAAGAACACCAGUGGCGAAGGCGGCCACCUGGAUCGUAACUGACGCUGAGGCACGAAAGCGUGGGGAGCAAACAGGAUUAGAUACCCUGGUAGUCCACGCCCUAAACGAUGAGAACUAGCCGCUGGAAGGAUUAACUUUUCAGUGGCGUAGCUAACGCGUUAAGUUCUCCGCCUGGGGAGUACGGCCGCAAGGUUGAAACUUAAAGGAAUUGGCGG
rnacentral:rRNA from 1 species